rnacentral:rRNA from 1 species
GACGAACGCUGGCGGCGUGCUUAACACAUGCAAGUCGAACGGUGAAGGGAUCAGCUUGCUGGUUCUGGAUGAGUGGCGAACGGGUGAGUAACACGUGAGUAACCUGCCCCCUUCUUCUGGAUAACCGCAUGAAAGUGUGGCUAAUACGGGAUAUUCUGGGUCUGUCGCAUGACGGGCCCGGGAAAGAUGCGCCUUUGGGUGUUUUUGGUGGGGGAUGGGCUCGCGGCCUAUCAGCUUGUUGGUGGGGUGAUGGCCUACCAAGGCGGUGACGGGUAGCCGGCCUGAGAGGGUGGACGGUCACACUGGGACUGAGACACGGCCCAGACUCCUACGGGAGGCAGCAGUGGGGAAUAUUGCACAAUGGGCGCAAGCCUGAUGCAGCGACGCCGCGUGAGGGAUGGAGGCCUUCGGGUUGUAAACCUCUUUCGCCAGUGAAAGCAGGCCUGCUUCUUUGUGGGUGGGGGG